rnacentral:lncRNA from 1 species
AAACAAAGGUUUUUUUUUUUCAUAAAUACACUCUCUCUCCUAUUUGUUUUUUUUCCGAUAUACACCACUUUGUAAUUUAAUUCUCAAUCUAUACUACUUUGGACUUUGCGCUUUGAUUCACACCACUUUGCAAAUGAACAUGUCCAAAGAGAUUUGACAGUUGCAAACUCAAACUCAAAUGAACGUGAAGACACUCUUUUUUCGUGAAUACACUUUCUCUCUCCUAUUUUUUCUCAAUCUACACUACUUUGCAAUUUAAUUUCCAAUAUACACUAUUUGGACUUUCUCUCUCAUUUUUUUGUUUUUUUUUUAAAUUUAAAAUAUUAUAAAAUAUAAAUAUUAUAUUAUACAAUUUUUUUA